rnacentral:rRNA from 1 species
UACGGGGGGUGCAAGCGUUGUCCGGAUUUACUGGGCGUAAAGAGCGCGCAGGCGGUCGUUCAAGUCGAGUGUGAAAGCCCCCGGCUCAACUGGGGAGGGUCACUCGAUACUGAUCGACUUGAAGGCAGGAGAGGGAAGCGGAAUUCCCGGUGUAGUGGUGAAAUGCGUAGAUAUCUGGAGGAACACCGGUGGCGAAGGCGACAUCCUGGACCGGUAUUGACGCUGAGGCGCGAAAGCCAGGGGAGCAAACGGGG